GACGAACGCUGGCGGCGUGCUUAACACAUGCAAGUCGAACGGAAAGGCCCUGCUUUUGUUGGUUGCUCGAGUGGCGCACGGGUGAGUAACACGUGAGUAUCCUGCCCUUGACUUUGGGAUAACUUCAGGAAACUGCGGCUAAUACCGGAUAUGAUCUCCUGCUGCAUGUUGUUGGUUGGAAAGUUUCGGCGGUUGGGGAUGGACUCGCUGCUUAUCCGCUUGUUUGUGUGGUAGUUGCUUACCAAGGCUUUGACGGGUAGCCGGCCUGAGAGGGUUAACGGGCACAUGGGGACUGAGAUAGGGACCAGAAGGGAACGGGAGGCAGCGGGGGGGAAUAUUGCACAGUGGGGGGAAGAGUGAUGCAGAAACGCCGCGUGCGGGAUGACGGCCUUCGGGGUGUAAACCGCUUUGGAAUGUGACGAAGAGUGAGUGACGGUAAUGGGUAAAGAAGCAACGGCUAACUACGUG
rnacentral:rRNA from 1 species